GCCCGCGUAGCUCAGUGGAUAGAGCGUCUGCCUCCGGAGCAGAAGGUCGUAGGUUCGAAUCCUGUCGCGGGCA
rfam:Brachybacterium nesterenkovii strain CIP104813 genome assembly, contig: Scaffold60